GCCCGCCUAGCUCAAUCGGAUAGAGCGUCAGACUCUUAAGCUGAUUACGAGGCGGGAAUCUGAAGGCUGCGAGUUCGACCCUCGCGGUGGGCU
rfam:Moniliophthora roreri MCA 2997 sctg_0181_0002, whole genome shotgun sequence.